CCUAGGGACCGUGUCCCUGAGGCCCUGGGGAGAGGCAGACCUCUGUGGCCAUGUCUCGGUCUGCCCUUUCGAGCCGUCGAGGCCACGGUAGGCGGAAGCCCAGGAGCGGCGGAGGGCUGAGCGGGCCCAAGAAACCUGGUCGGGAGCCGCAGGGACUCAGCGCGGGAUCCGUCGUGGCCUCACGCCUGCCUGGCCGCCGUGCAUGACGGAUCUGCCAAUUGAUAACCUCCCAACGCCAUUAUGAAGAGGCACUGGCUGAAGCUUAUAUCCCUCUUUCUCCUACUCACAUUCCACCUCUAAUUUUAAAUAUACAAAAAGGGGGGCACGUAGGGGCUGAGCCUAGAAGAAAGGAUGGAUGGAUGGAUGGAUGGAUGGAUGGAUGGAUGGAUGGAUGGAUGGAUGGAUGGGAAGAACGUGAGCAAGGUGAAUGAAGGGUCAGAUGAAAAUGCCUGCCCAAAGCUGCUUGUUUGCAGAGGUAUACAAGGAAUGUACUUCAACAUAACAAAGACCACACAUGACAAACCCAGAGUUAACAUCAUCCUCAACAGUGGAAAAUUGAAAGUUUUUUUCCUAAGACCAGGAAAAAGACAAGAAUGCACUUGUGUUCAACAUAUUACUGGAAAUACUAGCCAGAGAUAUUUGGCAACAAAAAGGAAUAAAAGGUAUUCAAAUUGGAAA